rnacentral:rRNA from 1 species
CAAUAGCGUAUAUUAAAGUUGUUGCAGUUAAAAAGCUCGUAGUUGGAUUUGUGGUGUACUUCGGCGGCCUGUCACUAUGUGAUGGAGCUUGCUGAAGUCGCCAUCCUUGGGUGGAUCCUGUGUGGCAUUAAGUUGUCGUGCAGGGGAUGCCCAUCGUUUACUGUGAAAAAAUUAGAGUGUUCAAAGCAGGCUUAUGCCGUUGAAUAUAUUAGCAUGGAAUAAUAAGAUAGGAGCUUGGUACUAUUUUGUUGGUUUGCGCACCAAGGUAAUGAUUAAUAGGGACAGUUGGGGGUAUUCGUAUUUCAUUGUCAGAGGUGAAAUUCUUGGAUUUUUGAAAGACGAACUACUGCGAAAGCAUUUACCAAGGAUGUUUUCAUUA